rnacentral:rRNA from 1 species
GGGUGCGAUCAUACCAGCACUAAUGCACCAGAUUCCAUCGAAACUCUAAAGAUAAGCGUCCUUGGACGAGAAUGGUACUUA